CAUGUCUUUUUGCUAAUGAUUUAAAGUCUGGCCUGCUCGAUGAGUUUUAAAUUGCCGCAGUAUUUUGACUGUGCAAAGGUAGCAUAAUAAUUAGUUUCUUAAUUAGGAGCUUGAAUGAAUGGUUUAACAAGAAAAUUACUGUCUCUAUUUUAUUUUUUAUUGAAUUUUAUUUUUAAGUUAAAAGGCUUAAAUUUUUUUAAAAGACGAGAAGACCCUAUAGAGUUUUAUUAUUUGGUUUAUUUAUUAUUUAGAAAUUUAAUUAGACUAAUUAAUUUGGUUGGGGUGACUCAUGGAUUAAUUAAAUUCUUUGAUUAUGGGAUUGUUGAUUUUUAAAUUUAUUUUCUGUAUUUUCAAGUUUAAAUUAAAUUACCUUAGGGAUAACAGCGUAAUUUUCCUUUAAAGUUCUUAUUAAAAGGAGAGUUUGCGACCUCGAUGUUGGAUUAAAAUAAAUUUUUGGUGCAGUAACUUAGGGAUUAGGUCUGUUCGACCUUUAAAAUUUUACAUGAUCUGAGUUUAGACCGGCGUGAGCCAGGUUAGAUUCUAUCUUUAGAAUUUUUUGAUAUUUUAGUACGAAAGGACCAAAUAUUGAUUAUAAUAAUUG
rnacentral:rRNA from 1 species